ensembl:lncRNA
AGUUGGGUUCCCACCAAAAUAAAAACAAACUUGUUGACAGCCGGUCAAUUUCAAAAUUAUCCCAACCAAGAACACUACUUAAAUUCACCAAAUUUGUCUUUUGCGGCUCAUGUGGGAAACAUUUUCAGUUUUUGGCUGACGCUGAAGACGACGGACCAUCAUCGGACAACCUCUCUGAAGAGGAUCUAAUUCUUAAGUACUUCAGAAAUGGCCAUAAUUACAAUGCUGUUUUGAAUUUCUUGGAAACUAAACAUAACCUUAAAAUGAGCCUUUGCUGAAUGGCCCUGGACAGCAUUACGGGUACCGCACAAUGUGGCAGACAUUGCAUCAGAAGUAUGACAUGGCUCUCCCUGUAAGGUGCUGGUACAGUGUCUUGGUGAGGAAUCAAGGACCGGGACCACCAUAAACCAUACAGACUGCAAUCAUCCUCCCAGCAAGGAAGUAUUCAUCAUCUUUUGCCGCUGUAAUGAAUGGAUAGUUUUCUCCAAUUAAUAAACA